CCCACUUAUAACCCUCUAUGUCAGGAUACUACCCUGCAGGUAACCAAACGUUAACCCCACUUAUAACCCUCUAUGUCAGGAUACUGCCCUGCAGGUAACCAAACGUUAACCCCACUUAUAACCCUCUAUGUCAGGAUACUACCCUGCAGGUAACCAAACGUUAACCCCACUUAUAACCCUCUAUGUCAGGAUACUGCCCUGCAGGUAACCAAACGUUAACCCCACUUAUAACCCUCUAUGUCAGGAUACUACCCUGCAGGUAACCAAACGUUAACCCCACUUAUAACCCUCUAUGUCAGGAUACUGCCCUGCAGGUAACCAAACGUUAACCCCACUUAUAACCCUCUAUGUCAGGAUACUACCCUGCAGGUAACCAAACGUUAACCCCACUUAUAACCCUCUACGUCAGGAUACUACCCUGCAGGUAACCAAACGUUAACCCCACUUAUAACCCUCUACGUCAGGAUACUACCCUGCAGGUAACCAAACG